GAUGAAGAACGUAGCGAAAUGCGAUAAGUAGUGUGAAUUGCAGAAUUCAGUGAAUCAUCGAAUCUUUGAACGCACAUUGCGCCCCUUGGUAUUCCAUGGGGCAUGCCUGUUCGAGCGUCAUUUGUACCUUCAAGCUUUGCUUGGUGUUGGGUGUUUGUCCAUUCUCUUGCAGAGGGACUCGCCUUAAAGUAAUUGGCAGCCAGUGUUUUGGUUUUGAAGCGCAGCACAAGUCGCGAUUCAACGCUAUACGCCAGCUUCCACAAGCCUUUUUCACUUUUGACCUCGCAUCAGGUAGGGAUACCCGCUGAACUUAAGCAUAUCAAUAAGCGGAGGA
rnacentral:misc_RNA from 1 species